GCCAAUGUGGCAUAGUGGUUUGAGUGUUGGACUAUGACUCUAGAGACUCUGGGUUGGAUUCCUUGCUCAGCCA